rnacentral:rRNA from 1 species
CCUACGGGAGGCAGCAGUGGGGAAUAUUGGGCAAUGGGCGCAAGCCUGACCCAGCAACGCCGCGUGAAGGAAGAAGGCUUUCGGGUUGUAAACUUCUUUUAUCAGGGACGAAGCAAGUGACGGUACCUGAUGAAUAAGCCACGGCUACCUACGUGCCAGCAGCCGCGGUAAUACGUAGGUGGCAAGAGUUAUCCGGAUUUACUGGGUGUAAAGGGCGUGUAGGCGGGGGUGCAAGUCAGAUGAUAAAAUUAUGGGCUCAACCCAUAGCCCGCAGGUGAAACUGUACUUAUUGAGUGCUGGAGAGGCAAUCGGAAGUCCGGGUGUAGCGGGGAAAUGCGUAGAGAUACGGAGGAACACCAGUGGCGAAGGCGGAUUGCUGGACAGUAACUGACGCUGAGGCGCGAAAGCGUGGGGAGCAAACAGGAUUAGAUACCCUAGUAGUC